rnacentral:rRNA from 1 species
AGCGAACGCUGGCGGCAGGCCUAACACAUGCAAGUCGAACGGACCCUUCGGGGUUAGUGGCGGACGGGUGAGUAACACGUGGGAACGUGCCUUUAGGUUCGGAAUAGCUCCUGGAAACGGGUGGUAAUGCCGAAUGUGCCCUUCGGGGGAAAGAUUUAUCGCCUUUAGAGCGGCCCGCGUCUGAUUAGCUAGUUGGUGAGGUAAAGGCUCACCAAGGCUACGAUCAGUAGCUGGUCUGAGAGGAUGACCAGCCACAUUGGGACUGAGACACGGCCCAAACUCCUACGGGAGGCAGCAGUGGGGAAUCUUGCGCAAUGGGCGAAAGCCUGACGCAGCCAUGCCGCGUGGAUGAUGAAGGUCUUAGGAUUGUAAAAUCCUUUCACCGGUGAAGAUAAUGACUGUAGCCGGAGAAGAAGCCCCGGCUAACUACGUGCCAGCAGCCGCCGUAAAAC